AUCCAGCUGAUGAGUCCAAAAUAGGACGAAACGCGCGUCCUGCAU
rnacentral:hammerhead_ribozyme from 1 species